rnacentral:rRNA from 1 species
GACGAACGCUGGCGGCGUGCUUAACACAUGCAAGUCGAACGGUAAGGCUCCAGCUUGCUGGGGUACACGAGUGGCGAACGGGUGAGUAACACGUGGGUGACCUGCCCUGCACUUCGGGAUAAGCCUGGGAAACUGGGUCUAAUACCGGAUAGGACCGCACCGUGAGGGUGUGGUGGAAAGUUUUUUCGGUGUGGGAUGGGCCCGCGGCCUAUCAGCUUGUUGGUGGGGUAAUGGCCUCCCAAGGCGGCGACGGGUAGCCGGCCUGAGAGGGUGGACGGCCACAUUGGGACUGAGACACGGCCCAGACUCCUACGGGAGGCAGCAGUGGGGAAUAUUGCACAAUGGGCGGAAGCCUGAUGCAGCGACGCCGCGUGGGGGAUGACGGCCUUCGGGUUGUAAACUCCUUUCACCAUCGACGAAGGGUUUCUGACGGUAGAUGGAGAAGAAGCACCGGCUAACUACGUGCCAGCAGCCGCGGUAAUACGUAGGGUGCGAGCGUUGUCCGGAAUUACUGGGCGUAAAGAGCUCGUAGGUGGUUUGUCGCGUCGUCUGUGAAAUUCCGGGGCUUAACUCCGGGCGUGCAGGCGAUACGGGCAUAACUUGAGUACUGUAGGGGAGACUGGAAUUCCUGGUGUAGCGGUGAAAUGCGCAGAUAUCAGGAGGAACACCGGUGGCGAAGGCGGGUCUCUGGGCAGUAACUGACGCUGAGGAGCGAAAGCAUGGGGAGCGAACAGGAUUAGAUACCCUGGUAGUCCAUGCCGUAAACGGUGGGCGCUAGGUGUGGGUUUCCUUCCACGGGAUCCGUGCCGUAGCUAACGCAUUAAGCGCCCCGCCUGGGGAGUACGGCCGCAAGGCUAAAACUCAAAGGAAUUGACGGGGGCCCGCACAAGCGGCGGAGCAUGUGGAUUAAUUCGAUGCAACGCGAAGAACCUUACCUGGGCUUGACAUAUACAGGAUCGCGCCAGAGAUGGUGUUUCCCUUGUGGCUUGUAUACAGGUGGUGCAUGGUUGUCGUCAGCUCGUGUCGUGAGAUGUUGGGUUAAGUCCCGCAACGAGCGCAACCCUUGUCUUAUGUUGCCAGCACGUUGUGGUGGGGACUCGUAAGAAACUGCCGGGGUUAACUCGGAGGAAGGUGGGGAUGACGUCAAAUCAUCAUGCCCCUUAUGUCCAGGGCUUCACACAUGCUACAAUGGUCGGUACAGUGGGUUGCCAGUCCGUGAGGGCGAGCUAAUCCCGCAAAGCCGGUCUCAGUUCGGAUCGGGGUCUGCAACUCGACCCCGUGAAGUCGGAGUCGCUAGUAAUCGCAGAUCAGCAACGCUGCGGUGAAUACGUUCCCGGGCCU